CUCCCCUUCCGGUUGGUCGCGAAUACAACUUUAUUGGCAGCUCCGGGCGCGGACGGGACACUGCCGGGAGGGGCCGGAAACGCCGCGGGUCCCUGCGCGCUGGGGUCUCAGCGUAGCGGAUAGGAGGCGAAACUGGUCGGGGGAAUGAAUGGCGAGGGGACUUGAUGUGGACAGGUUCCCAGAAUAGGUGCCAGAGAGGCCUGCAGCCCAACCCAGAACUGCCUGCAGGCUGUUGAGUUUGACUAAACUCGUCUAUAAUGUUGCUGCCUCUGUGUCCGUGGAGUGUAGCCAGGCAGCCUGCAGGGGCUUUGGACCAGCACCAGCCCCUCCCACGUGCACGUGUCCUACAAUUCCUGCAGAGUCACAGUCAGUGAAAGUUUUGGUAUAACUCUCCUGCAACCCUUGUGAUAAGCACGUUCCCCUGACGCCCAGGGAGCCCCUGCAAAGCUGACCAAAGCCCUGCUCUUUUUGACUCAAAUUGACCGAUCCGGCCCUAGCCCAGAACCCCCAAAGCACUCCACGGACCCUUUCUCUGCCUGUGCCCUGCCUCGACCUCCCCACAUGCUGUGCUGUGCUGUGCACCCCCAGGACCUGUGAGUCAUAAGCACCUCUCUUGUACUUUCCCUCCCAGUCCUUGUGUUCUGCCUGUCAAAUGUUAAUUUAACAGUCACAGCACGGGCAAGAAAAUUGCAGGACGAACCACCGCUUCCUGGCCACAGGACUGGGAAACACAUCAUAGUUAAACUUCUGAAAACCGAAGAGAGGAGAAAAAAUGUUAUACAUAGAAACGAUGCGUGGCCUGUAGGGGAACAGCAGCAUGAGUGACAGCAGGUGUCUUAUCCUACAUCACAGAGGCCGGGAGGAAGCGGCAUGUUGUUCAAGCAUCGAAAGAGAUUGAAAGGGAAGUGAAUUCUCUACCAACAGAACCGUCCUCAGGAGUGAAGGAGGAAUGAAAAUAUUCUCAGACAGAGGCAGACUGAUAGAAUUUGUUGCUAGCAGACUUGCCCUUGGUGAAUGAUUAAAAGGAGCUGUCCAAGAAGAGGAAAAUUGUAACAGGAAGGCAGGGCCCUUCAGAAAAUUAAGAAUAGAAUGGGUAAGAGUGGAAGGACACACGACUGACCGUCUUUCACUUCAUAAGUUUCUUCAAUCAGGGUUGAUGCUUGAAGCAGAAAAUAACGCUGAUGUGGGGCUCAGUGUAUGCAGAGGAAAUAUUUAUAAUUAUAUUUGAAAAGCGGGAAGGAUGAAGGGCGUAGUGGCAGUAAGGUUUCUACACUGCACUCGACGUGGCACAACAUCGAUACCAGGGGACCUCUAAGCGCCGUGUGUGUGUGUGUGGUGAUGUCUGGGGCAGCCGCUGAGAAAGCUCAACAUGGCGGUAGAGGCAGAAACAUUAAAUGGAAUUCUAACAAAUGUUUCAGGAUCUCACAGGGCACAAGAGAGGAAACCAACACGAUUAAUGAAAUGGCAGACGGAAGCCCUAAUAUGUCAAUGAUUACUUUAACGUAAAUGGUCUAAAUGUACCAGUUAGAAGACAGAGGUUGGCAGAGUGAAUAAAAAAACCGAGACCCGACUCUGCGUUGUCUACUAUAUGCUGAAGCUCAUUUUGGCCACAGGGACAUGGGUAGAUUGAAAGUAAAAGCAUGGAAGAGGAUAUAUCAAGUAAACAUUAAUUUUUAAUAAGCAGAUAGACUCUAUUAAUGCCAGCCAAAAUAAUCUUCAGAGUGAAGAAACUUUCUCAGAAAAAAACAGGGACGUUACCUAAUGAUAAAAUGACCAAUCCCAAGUGCACAGGCACCAAAUGACAGCUUCAGAGCAUAUGAAGGACUUUAUAUGAGGACUUCUUACCCACUCCCAGCAGUUGUAGAAUUACUAGACAGACAUUCAGCAAAGAUAUACAAGAGCACCGCCCUCAACCGACAAGAUUAAGGGACACUUGUGGAACACUCCGCCCAACAACAGCAGAGGACACAUUCUUUUCCAGUGACCGUGGAACAUAUUCCAAGAGAGACCAUAUCUUGGGCCAUAAAACAAAAUCAAUUUAAAAGAACUGAAACCAUACGGAGACUAUGUUCUCUGAAUCAAACUGAAAAUCAGUAGCAGACAAUAAGAAAAUCUUCAAACGUGGAAAUUCAGCACAGGUGUCCUCAGAGAUACAAAGGAAUGAACGGCUGCUCUACACAAGGAGCUGGUGACUCUAGGGAAGAUGUCGUGAGUCCAAAGGGCAGUCAUUAAAGGGUGAGCGUAGUGAGAUCCCACUUACGUGACAUUCGUGAAGUGACAAGUCCAGGUCUUCCUGGUCUCCGGGGUUAGGGAUGGAGCUGGGAGUGGCCCUGACGCACCGAUGGGGCAGUCGUGUGUGGUGACGGUACUUAAGCAUUGUGAUGGUGGUGGUGGCGGCCACUCGGAUACACAGACGGCAUCUGCCCUGUCUCCUUCCCGAAGACACACAGCCAGACCGAAGGGAAGGAAGUAAACCGGUGAUCCCAGGAGCAGCCCAACGGAAGGGCCAGUGCAUCAAAAUAAGUACGACAUGCCCAUAAAAGAGGUGAAGGUCUUUAUCUUGGCGGUGUGACACCGGGAACAAGAAGAAGGUGCCUAAAAGAGGGGGAUGGAAGCAAAAAUGCUGAUAUCUGGUUGAUGGAUGCCCUAGAGAAAGGGGUCAUAAAUACGGGGAGUAGCCAAUAUUUGAAGGGACAACGGAGACAAAUUUUCCAGAGUGGAAGAGAAAGGACCGUCAGCUUAGAUCUGCAGAGUAGCACAUAUUGACAGGCUAUGGAAUCCAAGAAUGUCAAAGACAAACGUGGAGAGGACUGCCAGAGAAAAAACAGAUUGCUUUCAAAGGAACAGGAAUCAGACUGAGAUCAGAUGUUGUUACUCCACCGCUAUCUCCGUUACGCUUCUUGCGUAGAGUACGAAAGGUUGAUUUUUUUCCCCCCAGUAGCAAAAUACGUAGAUAAACCUGAACCUGGUAAAAAAAAAAAAAAAAAAAAAAAGGAAUAAUAAA